GACGAACGCUGGCGGCGUGCCUAACACAUGCAAGUCGAGCGGAGGUAGACAAGGAGUAAUCUGAGUUUACCUUAGCGGCGGACGGGUGAGUAACGCGUGAGCAACCUGCCUUUCACAGGGGGAUAAGGCGGCGAAAGCCGCUCUAAUACCGCAUGAGACCACGGUGAUGAUAUUACAGGGGUCAAAGGAGCAAUCCGGUGAAUGAUGGGAUCGCGUCCAAUUAGGUAGUUGGUGGGGUAACGGCCCACCAAGGCAACGAUGCAUAGCCGACCUGAGAGGGUGAUCGGCCACACUGGGACUGAGACACGGCACAGACUCCUACGGGAGGCAGCAGUAGGGAAUCUUCCACAAUGGACGAAAGUCUGAUGGAGCAACGCCGCGUGAACGAUGAAGGCUUUCGGGUCGUAAAGUUCUGUUGUAAGGGAAGAACAAGUGCCGCAGGCAAUGGCGGCACCUUGACGGUACCUUGCGAGAAAGCCACGGCUAACUACGUGCCAGCCGCCGCAGUAA
rnacentral:rRNA from 1 species